rnacentral:rRNA from 1 species
UACGUAGGCAGCGAGCGUUGUUCGGAGUUACUGGGCGUAAAGAGUGCGUAGGCGGUUUUCUAAGUUUGGUGUGAAAUCUCCCGGCUUAACUGGGAGGGUGCGCCGAAAACUGGAAGGCUUGAGUAUGGGAGAGGUAAGCGGAAUUCCUGGUGUAGCGGUGAAAUGCGUAGAUAUUGGGAGGAACACCAGUGGCGAAGGCGGCUCACUGGACCGGUACUGACGCUGAUGCGCGAAAGCGUGGGGAGCAAACAGG